GUCUACCACCAUACCACCCUGAAUGCACCCAAUCUCAUCUGAUCCCAGAAGCUAAGCAGGGUCAGGCCUGGUUAGUACUUGGAUGGGAGACCUCCAAGGAAUACCAGGUGCUAUAGGCU
ensembl:rRNA 5S_rRNA 5S ribosomal RNA